rnacentral:miRNA from 1 species
GAUAAUUAAAGAGAGAGAGAGAGAGAGAGAGAGAGAGAGAGAGAGAGAGAGUGAGAACAAAAGAAUGGAAUUCAAUGUAAAGAAACAAAAGAGACAAGCCUUUUUUUCCUCUCAACCUCUCUCUCUCUCUUCUCUCUUCUCUCUCUUCCUCUCUUUAA